AUUGAACGCUGGCGGCAUGCUUUACACAUGCAAGUCGAACGGUAACAGGUCUUCGGAUGCUGACGAGUGGCGAACGGGUGAGUAAUGCAUCGGAACGUGCCCAGUCGUGGGGGAUAACGCAGCGAAAGCUGCGCUAAUACCGCAUACGAUCUAUGGAUGAAAGCGGGGGACCGUAAGGCCUCGCGCGAUUGGAGCGGCCGAUGUCAGAUUAGGUAGUUGGUGGGGUAAAGGCCCACCAAGCCAACGAUCUGUAGCUGGUCUGAGAGGACGACCAGCCACACUGGGACUGAGACACGGCCCAGACUCCUACGGGAGGCAGCAGUGGGGAAUUUUGGACAAUGGGCGCAAGCCUGAUCCAGCAAUGCCGCGUGCAGGAAGAAGGCCUUCGGGUUGUAAACUGCUUUUGUACGGAACGAAACGGCUCUCUCUAAUACAGAGGGCUAAUGACGGUACCGUAAGAAUAAGCACCGGCUAACUACGUGCCAGCCGCCGCCGUAACAC
rnacentral:rRNA from 1 species